rnacentral:rRNA from 1 species
UACGUAGGGCGCAAGCGUUGUCCGGAAUUAUUGGGCGUAAAGAGCUCGUAGGCGGUUUGUCGCGUCUGUCGUGAAAGCUUGGGGCUUAACCCCAAGUCUGCGGUGGAUACGGGCAGACUAGAGGCAGGUAGGGGAGAACGGAAUUCCCGGUGUAGCGGUGAAAUGCGCAGAUAUCGGGAGGAACACCGGUGGCGAAGUCGGUUCUCUGGGCCUGUACUGACGCUGAGGAGCGAAAGCGUGGGGAGCGAACAGG